UACGAAGGGGGCUAGCGUUGUUCGGAAUCACUGGGCGUAAAGCGCACGCAGGCGGAUUGAUAAGUCAGGGGUGAAAUCCUGGAGCUCAACUCCAGAACUGCCUUCGAUACUGAGAGUCUCGAGUCCGGGAGAGGUGAGUGGAACUGCGAGUGUAGAGGUGAAAUUCGUAGAUAUUCGCAAGAACACCAGUGGCGAAGGCGGCUCACUGGCCCGGUACUGACGCUGAGGUGCGAAAGCGUGGGGAGCAAACAGG
rnacentral:rRNA from 1 species